CUUGCACUUCGGAAAGAAGGAGCUCUCCUUAGGCUGGGAGGGGCCAAGCCGCUGGCCCGUGAGCCUGGGGCAGCUCUGGACUGUGCUUGCUGUCCUUGAGGAGAAUGCAGCCAGCCCAGGGCAAAUCAGAGCCAGGCAGAACAUGGCCCUAACAGUGGGCAGCAUGAAACUGAGGAACACAGCAGGAAGCUGAUUUAGGCAAACUCAGCAGGAAGUGUUCCCUGUGAACCCAUGAGACUUCAUCCCUGCGUUGGUCUGGCUGGCUUUCCCUGUGAGAUACAGGUUCCUCCUGAAGAGCUGAAGCUCCAUUCCAGCUCUAGACUUCUCCUUGCUUUCAGACUUCAAGAUGAGAAGCAUUUUUCCAGUCCACAAGUGUUAGAGGACACUGCCGAUGAUGUGUGUUUUGCCCAGGCUGGACUCAGCUUCUUUGUCUCGCCUGGCGAAGAGGCAGUGCUGUGCCAGGAAAUAGCACCCAGGCAGGACUCCAGGGUGGGGACCGCUAAUCUGGCUUUGCCACAAUUUUGAAAGAAGAGUCAUGCUUCAAUUAAUAACAGACAACGGAGUCAAUAUGAAGGGAGCAGAGACAAUGAUGUGAUCAAAUGCCAAGAAAUGACUGACAGCAGAAAAAAUAUCAUGACCACUGUGGGAGGAGGUACUUUCUCUUUGUCAGAAGAACAGAAGCAAAUGGUCUGCUUAUAGCCUUUUAUGUGACGAUGUGCCCUUUCUGCCACUGCAAGGGAAAGAGUCAUCUUUGCUCCUCCAUUUUGGUUUAUCCUAAGAAAGACCAACACUAUGUCUAGCCCAGAGAGAGAAACACAUAAAAUAAAUACAAGUUAAAUCUUCAAUGGGACAUCAAGUUCCAUGUACAAGGCUAACCUAGACUAUAAAGUCCUUGAAGUAAGUGAAUUUAUUAUAUAUCUCUAUCACUGGACACACUGUUUGCAUGAAAUGAAGAGAAGCUUAAUAAAAGUGUCUUCAUAAUGACAAAGACAGGGAUGAUUAUUUGUAGAUACAACAUUUAAAGUAUAAAUACAGUUCAAGAAGAUUUGAUUCUAAUCGAAACACUUCCACCUAAAUAAGAAUCCUGAUGCAAAUAAUGACUAGUUUUAAAAUGACACCUUUUUUCAGACAUUACAAGCAAUGCUUAGUCGUUAAAUUAAAAAAUAAAUACCCCGUACGAUUUAAGAAGAAAAUAGAACACAUCUCUAUUCCCACCACUUAGCUAACAUUUGGUGUGCUUAUUCUCUCUGUCUCUGUCUGUCUCUGCCUGUCUCUCUCUUUCAUUCUCAUUCACUCCUGCCCUCACCUCUCUCUCUCUGUCUUAUCUACCUUUGUUUUGAUUUUACAAAUUUAAGUCCAUAUUCAUGCUGUACAUGAUUAAGGUUACACACUUAGUAUGUACACACUUUUUCACUUAUAUCAUGAACAUCUUUGUCAAACUUUUAGAAACAUUUUACCAGAGCCCUGUUUUGAAGACAUGAAAGUUGUUCUCUAUUCAUUUUUAAAUUAGGGAUAUAUCAUAUGUGGGUAUAUUUACACACAUAUUUUGGAGCACAUUUUAAAUUGUUUCCUUAGGAAAUAUUGCUAAAAGUAGAUUUAAAAAAAUAUUAAAGUGUUUGAUAAACAUUACUAUAAUAUCCUCCAGAAAGUCUGAACUAAUUUAAACUCCCAUUAACAACAUUUGUACAUAUUUCCAUUGCAACCUUGUUAAGAAAGUACUAUUUUGAUAAACAGACAAAAAGGAAAUCACACAGUUGUUUAAUUUGCAUAAAAUACUAAAUACUUUCUUCUU
rnacentral:lncRNA from 1 species